CUGUCUCUAAUUCCAAGAUCUGACACCUUCACAUCAUGCAGGGAAAAAUACCAAUACAAAAUAAAUAAAUAAAUAAAUAAAAAUAAGUCACUGAACAGUGAUUUAUCUGUGGGAUAGGUUGUGUUUGCUGCUUCUAUGGUAAUUUGUACUUCUAGCUCACUAUAUGAAGACUUUAUUUGUGUGAGGAAAUGUAUGCAAUGAAAAUGUGCCAAAACCUUUUUGAGUGAUAUUUUUCUUUUGUGUUACUUUAUAAAUUUUCUUUUACAGUGAUAUUAUUUUUUUGGUGAGUAAAAAUGAUAAAAUGAGAUUGUAAGAAUGACACCAAAGGCUUUUUAUAUUAGAAAAACAAUAACUGACUCCUAGAUUAAAAUCAGAAUGAACCAUACUAGCCAAAGCAGCUAUGUGGCCACCUUAUGUGCCAGUAACAUUUCUGUGCUUUGUUUCUCUUUCAGAUUCAAACAGUGGUCUCAUAACUGGUAUUGUCAUUGGAAUGAUCAUCGUUAUUUUAUUCAUCAUUGCUCUCUGUUGUUUGAUUCAGAAGAAAAAAAAAAAAGA